rnacentral:lncRNA from 13 species
AGAGAAUAGAAUCUUCCAGGGUCAUUGUGAGGAAUAACCUAGGGAAUAGAAUCUUCCAGGGUCAUUGUGAGGAGUAACAGAGAGACUGCCUGUGAAAUACAUAGUGUCUGCCUGGGACUUGGUAACCUCCCAAUAAACACCGUGAUGAUGAUGAUGAUGACGAUGAUGAUGAAGCUGUUACAAUGACAAUUUUUCAUAGAAGAAACAACUGUACUCAGUAUGCCUUUUAGGAAGAAAAUGAGACUCAGCAAACAUUAACACUGAGUGUGAAAGGGGUUUCAGAUUUCAGAGAGACUUGAGAGGGGAGGGAGUGGCUAUGGGCUGAAAACAGCAGGGCCUGCUCAUCACUUUAUUUCCCUUGAGUGAUAGACCGGACGCAACCAGAGCGUGUGACCUCAAAGGUCGGCCUGGAGACAACAGCAUUGUUCAAAGAGAAUGUGAAAAAUAAUUUAGCUUAAGAAGAGAAUCAGAAAGGCACACAGGGGGCUGUUGCAUUUGGGUAUGAUCUGGGGGUGUAAUCAGAGCAAGCAGAAGCUCCGUUCCCUUUCCGACGCUGGAGAAAGCAUGAACAGAGUCUCCCUAUGUAACCCAGGCUGGAGUGCAAUAAUAUAAUCUCAGCUCACUGCAACCUCCGCCUCCCAAGUUCAAGCAAUUGUCCUGCCACAGCCUCCUGAGUAGCUGAGAAUACAGGUACCCAUCACUACGCCAGGCUAAUUUUUGUAUUUUU